rnacentral:misc_RNA from 1 species
CCUUCCCUCAUCACUUCCACUCGCCCACAAAACUCGGGACCAGGAGCCCACUCCUCUCUCUCUUCACUUCACUCUUUUCUGCUCAGCCUCCGCAACUUUCAAGCAUUUCUGAAAUGAGCAUCGUCAAAACUCAGGGGAACUGCGUCGCAAUCCGUACACUCAAUUCUCCACUUUCCAUCUCCCGAUGCCCUCACGGCUCUGCUUCCUCUUCAGGAAUUGUUUUCUCCUUCGUUGCGAGAGAAAAUAUAGUAGUAGGAGUUGAGAAGCUUUGAAAUUGGCGCAAACGAGGAGAAGUGUAGGGAAAGGACAGUAUCAGUGCAGGCAGGGGACGAUUAAAAUCCAUCAUUGUUCACAGUCUGUCUCCGUCGGUUGCCGUCCAUGCCUAUAGUGGUCCCAGAGUCUUACUUCACAUGAUAUACGGUCGUUGAUUGGGACUAAUGGUCCAACUGCGCCGCUGAUAUUAGGCGAACCACCCUAGUUUACCAAUGGUCGCCAUCUUUCUCCUAAGUUCUAACUACGACCAUAUGUCAUUUCCUUCAAUUUAAGCGUAAGAGAUUCAUGAAAAGGCAUGAGAAAUGCAAAAUUUCGGUGUAAACUUUGUUUAUGAUUGUUUUUAAAAUAUUUUUAAUGAA